rnacentral:rRNA from 1 species
AGAGUUUGAUCCUGGCUCAGGAUGAACGCUAGCGGGAGGCCUAACACAUGCAAGCCGAGCGGUAUUUGUCUUUCGGGACAGAGAGAGCGGCGUACGGGUGCGGAACACGUGUGCAACCUGCCUUUAUCAGGGGGAUAGCCUUUCGAAAGGAAGAUUAAUACCCCAUAAUAUAAUGAAUGGCAUCAUUUAUUAUUGAAAACUCCGGUGGAUAGAGAUGGGCACGCGCAAGAUUAGAUAGUUGGUGAGGUAACGGCUCACCAAGUCGAUGAUCUUUAGGGGGCCUGAGAGGGUGAUCCCCCACACUGGUACUGAGACACGGACCAGACUCCUACGGGAGGCAGCAGUGAGGAAUAUUGGACAAUGGGUUAGCGCCUGAUCCAGCCAUCCCGCGUGAAGGACGACGGCCCUAUGGGUUGUAAACUUCUUUUGUAUAGGGAUAAACCUAGAUACGUGUAUCUAGCUGAAGGUACUAUACGAAUAAGCACCGGCUAACUCCGUGCCAGCAGCCGCGGUAAUACGGAGGGUGCAAGCGUUAUCCGGAUUUAUUGGGUUUAAAGGGUCCGUANGCGGACUCGUAAGUCAGUGGUGAAAUCUCAUAGCUUAACUAUGAAACUGCCAUUGAUACUGCGGGUCUUGANUAAGGUAAAAGUGGCUGGAANAAUAAUGUAACGGGNAAUGCAUAAAUUUUCU